rnacentral:lncRNA from 1 species
GCCCAGCAGGGAGCAGCACCCCCGUUUUACGGAAAAACGAGCCCUGGAAGGUGCUGGGUGACUUGUCAAGGCCGAAGGCAUCGCGACUCUGGCUGGCUGGGGCAUAAGAGCGGCUGGGACCCUGGCACCCAGGACCGGUGGUGGAGGCCACCAGGAAGGCUAGCGAGAGGCCAGGGAACCCCACUUACGGGCUGAAGUGGGUCCCCCUGGCAGGCGGAUGGCCGGGGGGCCUCCGUGGAGCCUCGGUCUGACUUCGGGGUGCUCACAGUCUGAGGUCAGAGGGUCACAGCAGGCUGAGAGCAGAGAGCCCCGUGGCGUCGGGGUGGGUGACCGUGGGGGCCAAGGUUGCUGAAACCCCGUGAGCGGCUCAGGCACGGGUGCAGGUCCGCUGGCUGCGGUGACACACGGGCCCGCGCACCGCGGCUGGGCCGGAGACGUGUGCGGAGCAGCACGGCCCUCGGCAGGUGCUCCCGGGCGGCGCAGGCUGUCCUCACGCGCGCUCCAGGAGCCGGGCUCCUCCCUGCUCCGCCGGCGGGCAGCUCCUCCUGGGCCGGACCCCAGCGCGUCCUUUCCAGGCAAAGGCCCCGCGGGAAGACACAGCACCUCCUGAGACGCAGGCUCAGAACCGGCGCCCAACCUCCCGCCUCGUUCCUCUGGCCAAAGCGGGUCACGUGGCUGUAGGCCCCGCCCACGGUGGGACGGUCCUGCAAAGUCACGUGGCAUUGGGCGUGGCUACAGGGAAGGGUGAAGAAUUGGGGCCAAGGACGCCGUCGGCCACAGGUCGCCAGUCUUUCCAUCUGCAGGCCAGGAUCGCAGAUCCCUGUCCAGUCCACUGUGAGGCCAACGAUAAUGACAGCUCCUGGACACAGCACGUUUGCAUAGUGCUUGACGCAGCUUCACUCCUGUCAUCCUCACCGCUUUGUGCAAUUAACGGCACCAUCGGACCCAUGAAGAAAAUGAGGCACAGAGAGGUCUUUCAAAAACAGACUCCGAGAUAAGGAAGCGGCAAGCUUUGGAGAUGCUCAAGAGAAAAUGCAGCCAUUAAAAAAAUUGCCAUGCGAUAGUUAUGAAAUUUCCCUAAAUUCAUUUUGUGGAGUGAGAGACAUAAUUUAAACGUGAAGUUAUCGAGAGCUGAGAUGAACCACACGUCACGUGCCAUUUAAUCUGGCAAGGAAACAGGCCACUUGGAAUUGCUAACUAGGCCUAAUUCAUUACGUCUUGGUGAACGCUGUACUUUUGCUCUUUGAGUCUUUCAACUUGUGCGUUUAAUGUGUUUACCCAGGCCUCAUGGAA